GACGAACGCUGGCGGCGUGCUUAACACAUGCAAGUCGAACGGAAAGGCCCUGCUUUUGUGGGGUGCUCGAGUGGCGAACGGGUGAGUAACACGUGAGUAACCUGCCCUUGACUUUGGGAUAACUUCAGGAAACUGGGGCUAAUACCGGAUAGGAGCUCCUGCUGCAUGGUGGGGGUUGGAAAGUUUCGGCGGUUGGGGAUGGACUCGCGGCUUAUCAGCUUGUUGGUGGGGUAGUGGCUUACCAAGGCUUUGACGGGUAGCCGGCCUGAGAGGUGACCGGCCACAUUGGGACUGAGAUACGGCCCAGACUCCUACGGGAGGCAGCAGUGGGGAAUAUUGCACAAUGGGCGGAAGCCUGAUGCAGCAACGCCGCGUGCGGGAUGACGGCCUUCGGGUUGUAAACCGCUUUCGCCUGUGACGAAGCGUGAGUGACGGUAAUGGGUAAAGAAGCACCGGCUAACUACGUGCCAGCAGCCGCGGUGAUACGUAGGGUGCGAGCGUUGUCCGGAUUUAUUGGGCGUAAAGGGCUCGUAGGUGGUUGAUCGCGUCGGAAGUGUAAUCUUGGGGCUUAACCCUGAGCGUGCUUUCGAUACGGGUUGACUUGAGGAAGGUAGGGGAGAAUGGAAUUCCUGGUGGAGCGGUGGAAUGCGCAGAUAUCAGGAGGAACACCAGUGGCGAAGGCGGUUCUCUGGGCCUUUCCUGACGCUGAGGAGCGAAAGCGUGGGGAGCGAACAGGCUUAGAUACCCUGGUAGUCCACGCUGUAAACGGUGGGUACUAGGUGUGGGGUCCAUUCCACGGGUUCCGUGCCGUAGCUAACGCUUUAAGUACCCCGCCUGGGGAGUACGGCCGCAAGGCUAAAACUCAAAGGAAUUGACGGGGCCCCGCACAAGCGGCGGAGCAUGCGGAUUAAUUCGAUGCAACGCGUAGAACCUUACCUGGGUUUGACAUGGAUCGGGAGUGCUCAGAGAUGGGUGUGCCUCUUUUGGGGUCGGUUCACAGGUGGUGCAUGCCUGUCGUCAGCUCGUGUCGUGAGAUGUUGGGUUAAGUCCCGCAACGAGCGCAACCCUUGUUCACUGUUGCCAGCACGUUAUGGUGGGGACUCAGUGGAGACCGCCGGGGUCAACUCGGAGGAAGGUGGGGAUGACGUCAAGUCAUCAUGCCCCUUAUGUCUAGGGCUUCACGCAUGCUACAAUGGCUGGUACAGAGAGUGGCGAGCCUGUGAGGGUGAGCGAAUCUCGGAAAGCCGGUCUCAGUUCGGAUUGGGGUCUGCAACUCGACCUCAUGAAGUCGGAGUCGCUAGUAAUCGCAGAUCAGCAACGCUGCGGUGAAUACGUUCCCGGGGCU
rnacentral:rRNA from 1 species